UACGGGGGGGCAAGCGUUGUUCGGAAUUACUGGGCGUAAAGGGCGCGUAGGCGGUUUGCUAAGUUGGAUGUGAAAACUCUGGGCUUAACCCAGAGCCUGCAUCCAAAACUGGCAAACUUGAGUACUGGAGGGGAAAGCGGAAUUCCUGGUGUAGCGGUGAAAUGCGCAGAUAUCAGGAAGAACACCAAUGGCGAAGGCAGCUCUCUGGGACGGUACUGACGCUGAGACGCGAAAGCGUGGGGAGCGAACAGG
rnacentral:rRNA from 1 species